rnacentral:misc_RNA from 1 species
GCUUGGCUCUCUAUCGCAAGCAAAACGCACUGUAUAUAAAGAACACCAUCCCUUGUCCCUAUUAAAAAUUCACCUCUAAAUUCUUUUUUUCUGUCACUUCAUCUUCUCUUUCAUAGUUUACCACGACUUAUCGUCCAAUUUCAACGAUUUCGUUCUUUACAGGUUCUCCUUCAUUACUUCUCCACUGCUGCUCUGUCUACGACUUCUUUCAAUGCUAAGAUCUCAGAGAGGAAAAGCAACCAAUCUAUCUUCAUGGGGACCUU